CUACGGGACGCAGCAGUGGGGAAUAUUGCACAAUGGGCGCAAGCCUGAUGCAGCCAUGCCGCGUGUAUGAAGAAGGCCUUCGGGUUGUAAAAUACUUUCAGCGGGGAGGAAGGGAGUAAAGUUAAUACCUUUGCUCAUUGACGUUACCCGCAGAAGAAGCACCGGCUAACUCCGUGCCAGCAGCCGCGGGUAAUACGGAGGGUGCAAGCGUUAAUCGGAAUUACUGGGCGUCAAGCGCACGCAGGCGGUUUGUUAAGUCAGAUGUGAAAUCCCCGGGCUCAACCUGGGAACUGCAUCUGAUACUGGCAAGCUUGAGUCUCGUAGAGGGGGGUAGAAUUCCAGGUGUAGCGGUGAAAUGCGUAGAGAUCUGGAGGAAUACCGGUGGCGAAGGCGGCCCCCUGGACGAAGACUGACGCUCAGGUGCGAAAGCGUGGGGAGCAAACAGGAUUAGAUACCCCGGUAGUC
rnacentral:rRNA from 1 species